rnacentral:rRNA from 1 species
ACGGAUACUUCGGUAUUAGUGGCGGACGGGUGAGUAACGCGUAGGGAUCUAUCCACGAGUGGGGGAUAACUUUGGGAAACUGAAGCUAAUACCGCAUGAUACCUGAGGGUCAAAGGAGUGAUCCGCUUGUGGAGGAACCUGCGUUUGAUUAGCUAGUUGGUGGGGUAAAGGCCUACCAAGGCGAUGAUCAAUAGCUGGUUUGAGAGGAUGAUCAGCCACACUGGGACUGAGACACGGCCCAG